rnacentral:rRNA from 1 species
UACGGAGGGUGCGAGCGUUGUCCGGAUUUAUUGGGUUUAAAGGGUGCGUAGGUGGCUGUUUAAGUCAGUGGUGAAAUACGGUUGCUCAACAAUCGAGGUGCCAUUGAUACUGAAUAGCUUGAAAUAAUUGGAGGCUGCCGGAAUGGAUGGUGUAGCGGUGAAAUGCAUAGAUAUCAUCCAGAACACCGAUUGCGAAGGCAGGUGGCUACGAUUUAUUCGACACUGAGGCACGAAAGCAUGGGGAGCAAACAGG